GGCGUAUCACAUAACAAAUCUUUUCAUAAGAAAUUGCAUAACUGAAACCUUUCCACUCUUUCAUAAGCUCAAUUAUAUUUUCAUCUAAGCACUUACCAUUCCAAUGCACCUUAUAAUUAAACAUAUUACCAUUCAACAGUAAUUUGGCACUUGCCUAAACUUCAAGCAGCAACAUUGGUUAGCGUACUUUAAUAUUGACAAACUUAUUUUCUCGCCAUGUCUCACUUAAAU
rnacentral:lncRNA from 1 species